GAGAGAGGAAGAGGAAGAGAAAGAGAGAGAAAUGGGUUUUGUGUAGAAGGGGAUGGAAAAUGAAACUAAAUAAUGGGUAUUUUUCAAGGCCAUGAUUUUGAACAAGGUGGAACUUAAAAAACCACCAUUGUUGAACUUGUUCUCAAAAUGAAAAGAAGAUGGUGAAGAAUUGCAGAGAUUUUAAAGAAACCAUAUCACACCAUUAGCUUCUUUCAAUAAUUCAACCAUCAAAUUUAGAGGCACGGGAGAUUUGCGUCAUAACUUCUCUUUUUUGGUCGCUCUCCCG
rnacentral:lncRNA from 1 species